GCACAUACCUCAUUCAGAACAAGGAGAGGCAUUCUAGCAGCAAUAGCUCUCAACUUUCUGGCCUUGGGUUGGUUUCUUACUUGUGCAGGCUAGUCUCCUAGUAUGUCUGGCCAGUCUGCUCAGGACUGGUUACACUGGCAACCUAGUACAUCUACCUGCAAGGGUGUGUGAAGGAUGGCAGUGAUUGGGGGGCUAAUGUCACCAUUGACGGCCACACUGUGUCAGUGCUUAGCUGGUUCGAUGAUCAGCUCAAGUCGGAUAAUAUCAAGAACAACCUGCACACCUUGACUGAGGAGCCUCACAUGGGAGGCAGUGAAGAGAACCAUCAGCUAGCUGUGAUGAUCUACCAACAGUGGGAAGGAUUCAUGUUCGACAAAGUGAACUAGUCAACUACUCUGUUCUACUCAGCUUCCCCAACAACACAAGCAAUCCCAACAUGCUGCAAUUGUUGAACGCUAAGAAUGAACUACUCUACAAUUCUCACUCGAAACAGGAGCCACCUUUGACCCCUGGUGAAGACGACCCCAACGUGGCUCCAUCUUUCAAUGCAUACUCUGGAAGUGGGAAAACUUCACUUCCAGAACAGAUAUGUUACUCUACCUCUGCUACGUGAUGGCUGCCAAACUGCUCACUUUCAACAGAUUACUAUUGUCUCAUUAAGAGGUCAGCAUCAUGACAUUACACUCAGACUGUGUGCGUGCAUGUCUGUUAGUGAACAGCUGUUUCGUCUGGGACUCUGGCCAGCUACUCCAGUUAAGCCCACGGUUGCGUUUACUAAUGGAGGUGAUACAUAAUCUCUGUACUCGAGUGUCAAUCUUCACUUUACGGCAUUUAUAGCUUCAUACGAUUAACUGGAAAAAAGCAACCAAAGGAUAAAGAUUUCUACUCUCAGUUCACGACAAGUUUUCCAUAGUAUAGGUACGUUAUUCAAGCAGUCAUGUAGACUUUCAGUCUUUUGUGCCAGCAACGAAUGUCCUGCCUCUCCAAAGGUAUAGGUGUGUUUUAUGAUUAUGUGUUGUUAGGCAGAUGCUUUGGAUCCAAUGAUUAUGUCAAUAGACGCAAACUCUCGUCUUUGUCGCUGUAUCAAUGCUCCUAAGGAAAGUGAAGACACAGAACCUUUGAUUUCCCCUUCAUUCUAGGAAGUUGACUGUUACGUAACCUCACAAGAGCGUCCCACUACAGAGAGUAGCUGCAGUGACUUCAAAGCUGACGAUGCGUUACGCUCUCGAUCACGCUAUCACUCCCUUGAUGAAUGUGUUUAGAGCAGCAAGAUAUUCCUCUCUGGCAUGUAGCUGUCAAUUACAUCCUGCUCUCUUGUAUAUCUAAGAGACUGUGUGUAUCUAUCCUAUAUUAGGUAUGAAACUGCUGUGUUAGGAGCGAUCUGUAGACAUGACUUCCCCAAAGGUUUGCCUGAGCUGAGUUAGUAGAUCAAGAUCUAAAUUUACGUUUUCUGAGUCUGAGUAGUUAAAGCUAAACGUAGCUACGGUACGUAGAUUAUAACUGUUCUACCAGGCUGUGGGGCAGGAGGGGGGAUUCCUAGACGGAAGUAGUAGGCCGACCAUAGCAAAUAAUAUUGAAUCUGUAUGUGAAUAGUUUUGUCUCAGAGGAGGUACGACAGGAAGUGGUGGGAAUUACGCGUUUACAUUCCAUAUAAAAAGUACUUAGCUUCAAAUUUAGAGAAAGAGUUUUUUUGCACUACAGAUAUUGUACACAAGUAGCAAGGUGCAAAGUUUUGUAGCUUCUCUGUGUGUUCUAAACGACUGAACACAGUGACAAAAGUAAGUAGUGAAUUAAUAUCUCAUCAGUUCACCCUGAUACCUAUCGAUAUACCCAUUGUAUGAAAGGUCUAGAGCCAAACUAUUAUGUCUCCAAGUUUUACAGCAUGAUUUUUCAUUCUUAUAAGUACUUAUCAAGGAACAUAAUUAUGUACAUGGGAAAAUGAAUGUAAAUAUAACAAGAAUGUAAUUAAAAACUUGAUCAAAGUGACUCCAGUAGCUAACUGAGCUUUGCGGUUACCGCCCACUUAGAAUUAAUCAUAUUCAUGCUUAGCCACAUCCUAAAGUUAAAUACUGGUGGAACAAACCUGACAUUGCAGUGGUACCCAACCCUACGUUCGCGUCCAGGGUGGGCGGGCUACGCCCAACUACAUCAAACCUAGUGGUUUUCACUACACAUAGGCUACAAUGGAGAGCAGUCUAGGGGAUUACCGUACUUCUUCUAAAUAAGGCGCCACCCAGACUGAAAAGUAAUUUUAAAGUCUCCAUAUAGAGCUCCACGUGGCUAGAGAGAUUAUUUUUUGGUGGCGCGUUGUAAAUGGAGGCUAACAUCACAUCUUUUUUCAGAAAGCUUGAGGAUGAUGAGACACGGCCUGGAAUCGAGGAUACCAAGAUUGUUCAAAUAACCUCUAUUUAUAAGGCACCCAUCUAAAUACGCGCCUCCCUGGACCAAAUCAAAUUUUUCUGUCUCUAAUUAUGGCCCUUGCUCAUAUCGUAAUUAUUAAAAAGAGGCGCCUUAUUUAGAAGAAGUACGGUAACUCAGGUUGGUUACUGUCUUUCAUAACAUGCACUUCACAGUAUUCGAGAUUACUAGAAAGUGAUGUGAGCUUGCUAGAGAGCACAGCAGUAGAUCUACACAGGCACCAUAGCUAUCAGAGGAGGUCCGAUAGGCGCGGUGCAGCUCAAGUAAUUAGCCUUGAUUAAUACUCUCAGCAAACACAUACAACGUGGGCGGAUAAUUAUUGCUCAAUCAAAGGCUAAUUGCUUGAGCUGCACUGUGCCUGUCGUACCUCCUCUGAUAGCUACACUGAAAUGUAAGGAAAGAUUAAAGGUCAAGAGCCUAUAACGUAAACAUUGUAUGCCACACCAGAGAAGGUACGACAUGCGUGCCUCGAUCAGGCUAAUUGCCUCUGCAAUAACAUUGAGCAUGGGCGUGGGCGUAACCACGCCUCGAUUAUCUGCCUACGCUCAGCGUUAUUGCAGAGGCAAUUAGCCUAAUCGAGGCACCAGUGUCGUACCUCCUCUGAUGCCACAUGUUCCUUGCCAUGUGACUGAUGACACAUGCAUGUCCCACCUCCUCUGCAUGCAUUAUGUACAAUAUCAAUGCAUUAACUAUAUAGGAAUUAGUAUCUGUUAGUUAGUAGAGUAUUCUAUUGCCUGAUUUAUUCAAUACGGUACAUGAAGACUCUUGCUAAUCCGGAUCUCUGAAUUACGAUUGUUUCAUUUGGCACACAUUGCUAGCUUGAUCAUACUGCACAAAACCUGCCUUGAAAUGCGGCCACUCGCUGUUUCGUAUACUGGUUAGUUGUGGCUGCCCCAGGAUUUUUAUACGUUUUGGGUGUGGUCUGGCAGAUGAAAAUUGGGUUAAUCUCGAGACAAAACCGCAAAAUUAGUCAUUAGAUUUGAAGCAGAAUCUGCUAUUUAGCUGCGGCUAUUUUCUGAAAUGUAGCCACCUCGUUAUUGUGACCUGUCCCAAGGGUGACUGGAUUAACGAGAGUUUACUGUAUUAUGUAUUUUCUUUGUGGUCCCAACAGGGUAGCCGCAGUGCCCAGGAUCAUGAAGAGACAAUGAUGGCUCUUCUCUAUGCAAUCCUCACUGACCCUUCAUCGGCCUCAAAGAGCUACCACACCCUGACGUUGGUGUCACGUAACAGUCUUAGUUUGGUCACCACUCAUACUGAGAGG